GAUGAACGCUGGCGGCGUGCCUAAUACAUGCAAGUCGAGCGAACAGACGAGGAGCUUGCUCCUCUGACGUUAGCGGCGGACGGGUGAGUAACACGUGGAUAACCUACCUAUAAGACUGGGAUAACUUCGGGAAACCGGAGCUAAUACCGGAUAAUAUAUUGAACCGCAUGGUUCAAUAGUGAAAGACGGUUUUGCUGUCACUUAUAGAUGGAUCCGCGCCGCAUUAGCUAGUUGGUAAGGGAACGGCUUACCAAGGCGACGAUGCGUAGCCGACCUGAGAGGGUGAUCGGCCACACUGGAACUAAGACACGGUCCAGACUCCUACGGGAGGCAGCAGUAGGGAAUCUUCCGCAAUGGGCGAAAGCCUGACGGAGCAACGCCGCGUGAGUGAUGAAGGUCUUCGGAUCGUAAAACUCUGUUAUUAGGGAAGAACAAAUGUGUAAGUAACUAUGCACGUCUUGACGGUACCUAAUCAGAAAGCCACGGCUAACUACGUG
rnacentral:rRNA from 1 species